rnacentral:misc_RNA from 1 species
AUUAUUUACGACUGCGGACAGAGCUUGAAUGCAGCUGUUGAUUUGGGACAGGUUGAAGGGGCUUUCGUACAAGGAAUCGGAUUUUUCAUGAACGAAGAAUAUGUUACAAAUGAAGAUGGGUUAAUGGUCUCAAAUAGCACUUGGACAUACAAGAUCCCAACUAUUGACACCAUACCCCAGAAUUUCAAUGUUCAUCUCGUAAACAGUGGACAUCACGAACAACGUGUUCUCUCAUCCAAAACAUCUGGUGAACCACCGCUGUUUCUGGCAGCUUCGGUCCAUUGUGCAACAAGAGCAGCCAUAAGAGCAGCACGUGAACAGCUCAAACGUUGGGACAAGCUCGACGAGUCUGCUUCAGAAUUCUAUCUAGAUGUCCCUGCAAUAUUACCAGUUGUGAAGACACAGUGUGGCCUGGAUUAUGCAGAGAAGUUCAUAGAAACUCUGCUGGCUCGAAAAUCAACGUGUUUCAAAUGAUACUAAGCUAUGUUGCUCGGACUCUCCAAAGAAUGUUAUCGUACCUGUGUUGAUUCCUUUAAAAAUACACUACUUUUUGAGGAUCUGACAUGCACCGAGUCAUGAUCAUGUCUACUACAUCUUUAAUAUUCACAAAAUAAGUACAUGACUAAAGAGCUAUAUAUGGU